rnacentral:rRNA from 1 species
AUGGCUCCCUCGAGCAGUACAAGGCGCGGUGGGUUGUGCGCGGGUUCUCUCAGCGGCCCGGCGUCGACUUUGAUGAGACGUUCUCUCCCGUCGUCAACGCGGCCACGAUCCGUGUCGUCCUCACCAUUGCUGCUACGCGCGACUGGCCUGUCCAUCAAAUGGACGUCAACAACGCCUUCCUGCACAGGCGCCUCGCCGAGCGCGUCUACUGUCAACAACCUGCAGGCUUCGUAG